AACGACUCUCGGCAACGGAUAUCUCGGCUCUCGCAUCGAUGAAGAACGUAGCGAAAUGCGAUACUUGGUGUGAAUUGCAGAAUCCCGUGAACCAUCGAGUCUUUGAACGCAAGUUGCGCCCGAAGCCGUCAGGUUGAGGGCACGUC
rnacentral:rRNA from 1 species